rnacentral:rRNA from 1 species
CCUACGGGGGGCAGCAGUGGGGAAUAUUGGACAAUGGGGGCAACCCUGAUCCAGCCAUGCCGCGUGUGUGAAGAAGGCCCUCGGGUUGUAAAGCACUUUCAGUGAGGAAGAACGCCUGGUGGUUAAUACCCAUCAGGAAAGACAUCACUCACAGAAGAAGCACCGGCUAACUCCGUGCCAGCAGCCGCGGUAAUACGGAGGGUGCGAGCGUUAAUCGGAAUUACUGGGCGUAAAGCGCGCGUAGGUGGCUUGAUAAGCCGGUUGUGAAAGCCCCGGGCUCAACCUGGGAACGGCAUCCGGAACUGUCAAGCUAGAGUGCAGGAGAGGAAGGUAGAAUUCCCGGUGUAGCGGUGAAAUGCGUAGAGAUCGGGAAGAAUACCAGUGGCGAAGGAGGCCUUCUGGACUGACACUGACACUGAGGUGCGAAAGCGUGGGUAGCAAACAGGAUUAGAUACCCUAGGAGUC